AUUGAACGCUGGCGGCAGGCCUAACACAUGCAAGUCGAGCGGAUGAAGGGAGCUUGCUCCUGGAUUCAGCGGCGGACGGGUGAGUAAUGCCUAGGAAUCUGCCUGGUAGUGGGGGAUAACGUCCGGAAACGGGCGCUAAUACCGCCUACGUCCUGAGGGAGAAAGUGGGGGAUCUUCGGACCUCACGCUAUCAGAUGAGCCUAGGUCGGAUUAGCUAGUUGGUGGGGUAAAGGCCUACCAAGGCGACGAUCCGUAACUGGUCUGAGAGGAUGAUCAGUCACACUGGAACUGAGACACGGUCCAGACUCCUACGGGAGGCAGCAGUGGGGAAUAUUGGACAAUGGGCGAAAGCCUGAUCCAGCCAUGCCGCGUGUGUGAAGAAGGUCUUCGGAUUGUAAAGCACUUUAAGUUGGGAGGAAGGGCAGUAAGUUAAUACCUUGCUGUUUUGACGUUACCAACAGAAUGAGCACCGGCUAACUUCGUG
rnacentral:rRNA from 1 species